AACGAACGCUGGCGGCGCGCCUAAUACAUGCAAGUCGAGCGAGAAGACGUAGCAAUACGUUUGUAAAGCGGCGAACGGGUGAGGAAUACAUGGGUAACCUACCCUCGAGUGGGGAAUAACUAGCCGAAAGGUUAGCUAAUACCGCGUACGCUCCUUGGACUUCGGUUCAGGGAGGAAAGCGAUACCGUGGGUAUCGCGCUCUUGGAUGGGCUCAUGUCCUAUCAGCUUGUUGGGAGGUAACGGCUCACCAAGGCUUCGACGGGUAGCCGGCCUGAGAGGGCGACCGGCCACACUGGGACUGAGACACGGCCCAGACUCCUACGGGAGGCAGCAGUGGGGAAUCUUGCGCAAUGGGCGAAAGCCUGACGCAGCGACGCCGCGUGAGGGA
rnacentral:rRNA from 1 species